AAGUGGUAGCAAUACCAUGAGUAAAGUGGCGCACGGGUGAGUAACACGUGACUAACCUACCCUGGAGUGGUGGAUAACUGAGGGAAACCUUAGCUAAUACCGCAUAAUACCCACGGGUCAAAGGAGCAAUUCGCUUUGGGAGGGGGUCGCGGCCGAUUAGUUAGUUGGCGGGGUAACGGCCCACCAAGACGAUGAUCGGUAUCCGGCCUGAGAGGGCGCACGGACACACUGGAACUGAAACACGGUCCAGACUCCUACGGGAGGCAGCAGUGGGGAAUUUUGCGCAAUGGGGGAAACCCUGACGCAGCAACGCCGCGUGGAGGAUGAAGUCCUUCGGG
rnacentral:rRNA from 1 species